AUGAAGGGGCGGUUGGGAGCUCUGAGAGGUUUUACGGCUGCUUGUGCAGAUAGCCCUACUACACCCAAGAAUCCCAUUGUGGAAUUGAUAGACAGUGAUCAUGAUGUGUUUGACAAAAUUGCUGGCGUUGGAAGAGUCACGAGGAGCGCUGCUGCGAAAGGUUUAUCUCCCCUUGCUGGAAUAGUGGCUCGUAGAGCUGGUGGUGCUAGGAAAGAUUCCGCUUUGGAUUCUGGCAAUGUUGUAAGCACGAAGCGUGCGCCCAGAGCUCCUAUAAAGUUUUGCUCCCCUGUGCAGCAGCUUCACCCUUAUAAUUCCCUCACCUGGACAAGGCUCGCAGGUUGUAUAAUCUGUUGCUUAGUAAUGAAUGGCGUGAGAAGUAUGGCGAGAAUACAUUCUCAAUGA
rnacentral:rRNA from 1 species